rnacentral:lncRNA from 1 species
CCCACAACACGGAAUUAUGGGAGCUACAAGAUGAGAUUUGAGUGGGGACACAGAGCCAAACCAUAUCAUCCAGCGUCCAGGAAGAUUCAGGUCACUCAGACUUGAAGGAUGGUGUUGAAGAUUCUGCCACAUUGAUACAUAUCAGACAGACUUGCUCUUUAAAGACACCAAAGUGACUGGGCACGAUGGCUUACAUAGGUAAUCCCAGCACUUUGGGAGGCUGAGGCAGGAGGAUUGCUUGAAGCCAGGGGUUCGAGACCAGCUGGAGUGACAAAGUGAGACCCCACCUCUUUCUCUUUAAAAAAAGACAGCAAAGAAUUUUAUGAUAUGGAUGCACAUCUCAAGUAUUUUAACCAUCUCUUGAAAUGUUCUUGGGCCUCAGCCUAGGCACUAUGCCUAUAGAAACUAAUGGAUAAAGCAACCCUGCUUCUUUAAAGGCCUGGAGGCAAGUGCAAUCACGUUUAAUGCUGAAUAUGGCAAACUUAUUUUCCCUGUUGAAGCCAAGUAUCUGUGUGGAGGAUUAGUUGGAUGCAUGCUUCCAAAAGAAACCAGCUGUUCUUGUCACAGUUUUUACUUAGGGCCAUAACAAUGGGGUUGACAUUGGUAUGAAACACUUUUGAACCCCCCAGAAUGAAGACUUCUUAACUGCACCUGAAGAGUGACUCGCCAAAAACAAUGAAAGGUGUUUCACAAUCUGAGUGGGUGAACUUCAUCUAACUGAUAUGUAAAUAAAGGAGUGGCGGGUUAACAGCUCAAUACGCAGAAGCGGCCUCUCAAGAAAGCUUGGCUACUAGAAAUGAAGGGCAACUUCACUCAAAUCCUGUGACACUGUGGAAUUUAGGCACAGCAAGAUGCUUGGGCCUGGACCAAUGGAAGGACAAAAGGUUCCUUUCUCUCUCUGCAGUUCAUCCAUGUCCAAAGAGAGAGAACACCAGGAGGUGGGACUUCUGAGUUGAUUCUAAAUCUUCCUGUGUAAUUCAAGGCGUGUGUGUGUAUCUGUGUGUGUGUUUUCUGUUUAAAACCACCAGAGAAAUAUAGAUAGUCCCUGAGAAGAAAAGAUUAAUAUGGCACCUUGGCCUUGCCCUUCUGGCUCACAUGAGGGGGAUAGCCCAGUAGACCAGCUUGGCCCAAGGGAGCAGAACCGCCCCAGAUCCAACCACACAAAGAAAACAGAGACCUUGAAAGAGGAAAAAUAAUAUUUGUGGCUAUUAAUGAAAUCACAAUCACAAUAAUAAUUCUAAUGUCAGUAGCUAGCACUUGCCCACACUUAAACAUGGAAACUCAGAUUCUGGCAAAUUCUGCCCACUUUCCAAGGCUUUCUGGGAGUCCCAGGUGAUGUUUUAUAGGCAUUUGCACACAGCCCUGUUGUUUUGCACUCCAGCCUCUGUGUUGAAGUCUGAUACCUGAGAGUCCCUCUAUGUCCUUCAUAAUAAUUCUGGUAUCAGCCAGAGCUGUGUCUCUUGGUAGUCUCAGAGCCAGUAACUCAAAAGGAGCCAAACUGACAUUUAUCUUCCUACCUGGGCAUCAAAGCAUUCCAGAUCUCAUGGGGUCUGCUGUGAAAACAGCUGCUUCUGCAUCUCUUUCUCUCUGGGAGGGUUUAGACAGGAGUCAAGGAGCCAGACUCAUCCAUUUGGGAAUUGAUAUCUGCGACAGAUGAUUCUUUUCUUUUCACCUCAUCCCUUUCCUUACCAUUUACUCUCCCUCCACCCAUUCUGUUUCACUAUAUCAGGUAAACCCCAAUAAUCUACACUUUAAUGAGCCCCCUUCCUGGGGGGAGCACAGAUACCACCUCUGAGAAGCAAAGAUGUAUUCAUUAAAGGCUGUAUGGCCUCGUGGCUGAAGCUGUGAAGUCAGACCUGGAUCUCAAUACAGGCUCUACUCCUUCAUACUAUCUCCUUGAGCAAGUGACAUAAUCUCUUUGUAGCCUGGUCUCCUUGAUUACCAAAUGAAGACAGUAACAGACUUAGCUCAUAGGAUUGUGGUUAGAAUUCUACAAGAUCAUUCAUUGAUUACUUCCUUGUAUAAAUACCUUAUUGAGGAUCUGUAAUGUUCCAAGUACUAUUCUAGGUGUUAGGGAUACAACAUAGAACAAAACAUACAAAAUAUCUGUCUUCAUGGAGCUUAAGUUUCAGUUAGGGAGAUAGACAAUAAGCAGGAAUACAAUAGAAUAAAAUGUUGGGCGGUGAUACAGUCUAUAAAGCAUAAAUCUGAUUAGGGAUGGAGAGGGAUGGCAGGGAAAGUAUUUGAGAAAAGAUAGUAAGAUAGUUAGGAAAGCCCUCUUUGACAAGGUGGCAUAUGAGCAAAGAUCUGAAUGAAAAAUAAUUCAGCACUUUGGGAGGCCGAGGCGGGUG